CCGGCGUGGGACUUGGAGAGGACGCGGACGGGCCUCUGGUGUUCGGGCCGGCCUUUCCUCUCGGCCUGUAUACUCUCGGCCUCUUGGAGGAACCGCUAAUACCUAACCCUAGCUUCCCCCGAUCCCCAAUUCCCCAUCCUCCACCUUCGCUUCCCUUCCGGCGCCGCCUCUCCUUCCCUGUCGCGUUGUAGCUCCUCCGAGGGUAGGAUGGUGAAGGGGACCGAGGACCUCCUUGCAACCUUAACCAUGUCCUCCGCCGCUGGUUCUGCUGCCGUGAAGGAGACGAACUCGUCGUCGUGGUCCGGACGUCCGCGUACUGGGUCACGACGUCCCUCCCAUGUCCGAGGCCUCGUCGACAGCUAUGUGGUACCCGGCGAUGUCGUCCUGGACCUAUCCGAGAUGACCAACCAGACCAUAAAGCUCGGCACGGGCCUGCGUCAGGAAUGUGACACCAUCCAGGCGACCAGUGCUGGGAUGCUGCGGUUGUCGAAGCCCAACAAGUAUUGGGUUGAGAGUUCCCAGAAGAGGUAUGUACCUUCUGUAGAAGAUACAGUUAUUGGUGUUGUGGUCGACACAAAACCAGACAACUUUUUGGUGGACAUAAAGGGUCCUAGCGUGGCCUUUCUACCAGUGCUUUCAUUUGAAGGUGGUACCAGGAGAAAUAUACCAAAGUUCGAGAUUGGUACAUUAAUAUAUGCUCGAGUGGUGAAGGCAAAUAACAUCAUGAAUCCAGAGCUCUCAUGCAUGGAUGCUACUGGGAAAGCUGCUGAAUUUGGUCAGUUGAAAGGUGGCUAUAUGUUUGACACAUUAACUGGCAUGUCACGAAUGUUGUUAAGUUCACCAACAUGUCCAGUUCUGGAGGCCCUUGGGAAAAAACUAUCAUUUGAGAUUGCUGUUGGACUCAAUGGUCGAGUCUGGGUGAAUGCUCCUGCACCAAGUACGGUCAUUCUUGUAUCAAAUGCGAUUAUGAAGUCAGAAUCUUUGAGUGGCAUAAAACAAAGAGCUAUGGUAGAAAAUCUCCUAGAGAGGUUGUCAUGAUGGCAAUGUACUCUCACGCAAUCGAUGUAUUUUGGAGUAUUGCUUGGUUAGAUGCCACAGCCUAUUCUGCAACAGGAAAAGGUCCUCUGUACUCCCAUGUUCUUGCAACCUUGACGCAGACCGUUGCGAAACGAUCAUGAGGUUCCAGAGCAGCAAGAAGAGUAAACGACAUCUUGUAUUUCCAGGGGAAAAGAUAAACGACCAGGUGUUAUGAGAAACAAUUACAAAUGACGAUGCCAGUGUACUUUUUAGAACUAACAUUGUAGUGAAAUCAUAGGAGUCAGAAUCAAUUUUUGAGCAAACGAGAAAGAAAUGCAGGCAACCUUAUGGUGAAGAAUGUAGGCAGAUAUAGAAGAGGCCACAUGUAAAUAAGAGAAAUGGUACUAUAAGCAACCAAAGGCAAAUACAGUAAGAAAUCACAGUAAUAUUUAUUGAUAUUGUUUCUUA